UCGUUUGAGCAAUGGAGGGACGCAGAAGGAUAGAAGAAGCGUGCGAUUGGUUGUGCACGUCCAAGCAGUUAGGCUGAUAAGUAGGCAAAUCCGCUUAUCAUAAAGGCUGAGCUGUGAUGGGGAAGCUCCUUAUGGAGCGAAGUCUUUGAUUCCCCGCUGCCAAGAAAAGCUUCUAGCGAGAUAAAAGGUGCCUGUACCGCA
rnacentral:rRNA from 1 species